rnacentral:rRNA from 1 species
AGAGUUUGAUCCUGGCUUAGGACGAACGCUGGCGGCGUGCUUAACACAUGCAAGUCGAGCGAUGAAGCUUCUUCGGAAGUGGAUUAGCGGCGGACGGGUGAGUAACACGUGGGUAACCUGCCUCAUAGAGGGGAAUAGCCUUUCGAAAGGAAGAUUAAUACCGCAUAAGAUUGUAGUACCGCAUGGUACAGCAAUUAAAGGAGUAAUCCGCUAUGAGAUGGACCCGCGUCGCAUUAGCUAGUUGGUGAGGUAACGGCUCACCAAGGCGACGAUGCGUAGCCGACCUGAGAGGGUGAUCGGCCACAUUGGGACUGAGACACGGCCCAGACUCCUACGGGAGGCAGCAGUGGGGAAUAUUGCACAAUGGGGGAAACCCUGAAUGCAGCAACGCCGCGUGAGUGAUGACGGCCUUCGGGUUGUAAAACUCUGUCUUUGGGGACGAUAAUGACGGUACCCAAGGAGGAAGCCACGGCUAACUACGUGCCAGCCGCGGC